rnacentral:lncRNA from 1 species
UUGUAAUUGUCAAUGAAGAAAUACAAUGCAGAUAGCGUUAUGGGUAAGGACACAUUAUCUAAUAUUAUUGUGGCACAUGCAAAGUGUCACGUGGCAAAAGGUCAUUGUCCUAAACUGGGAAUGUUUUCAGGGAGAUGCUCCCCACUGCACCAAAAUUAUCUUCCACAAUUAAACAAUUCAAGACAUAAUGGACCACCACCCCAUGACGGUGUUAAAUUUUCUUCUUCCCUAAGCAGAGUUGCAUGUGAUGGUGUCACAUGAUUGGGAAAACACACAUGAAGCAAGCACAAUGAUAUGCAAUGUGUUCAAUGGCUUUGGUCUACUUAAUUGGAUUUCUUCCCAUGUGAAUGAACUUAAGGGUCCUUUGUAUUACAAGGGUAAGUUCAAUAUAUAGGGUCUUGUCUCUCAAUCAAAUAACAUUGACAUGGACCAAUUCAAUGAUCACCACCAUCAAGGAAAAAACAAAGAAGGAAAACGGAUAAUACUAAAGAGAGAUAGAG